GAUGUUUUCCAUCAUAUUUUUACUUAUAACUUUCACACACAAAGACGUUUUUGUAAAUGCAAGCUGUAAGCUACAAAAUUGAUGAAGUAAAAUAUCGUAAUCAAGCUCGACCUGAGCUGUUUUAAAAAACAAAAAAUUUCUCCUCUUCUUUUGGACGUGCAUUCCGAUAUUUUUAAUUGAAAGUUUUGAUUUAUUUAUGAAUAAGGAUUCCAUAUUUACAUAAAGUUUUUGGAAGACAGAUUAAUAUAAAGAAUGAAACGUGCUAUCCAGAUAUUUACUAGUUAUUUCCUCUCUUUCUUAAAAUAUUUUGCCACAUAGCCUGGUAUUUUAUGUAUGAUGUCUGUUUGAGUUAAUAAUAAGAGUCCUUAUUUGCAUCAGAGUUACAUACUAUUGUAGUAUUCGAUACUGUUGUAAUAUGUUUCCACUGAGGAAAAAAAUGAACAACGGAAGAAGGGAACACCUGAAAAAUGAAAAAGACUAAAGCAAAAAGUUUCAUCAAAUGUGUUCCUUCCAGAAGAACAAAGACUUGGAAAAGAAAAAAUAUUGGAGUCAAAUUCUUUUGAGAAUGAUACCUAAAUGUUUAUGCCAUUGAAUGUUCCAAUCAAAGUUGAACCUUGUGAUGAGGAAAAUAAGCAGAUGUUUCCUAGUCAAACAGCUUCUAGUUCACAUAAAGAUUUCUACUAUGUUGACAAAAACUGUUUUGAAAUGAAGUCAGCAUUUAAUUCUACUAUACCAAAAGAUGAAUGUGAUGCAACUGAAUAUGUAGAAACUUGUUAUGGUGAUAAAAAUGAAGAUGAACUAAUUUUGCCUGACAUUGCACCAGAUUCAGAGUAUGAUGAUACCAGCAAUGAUGUUGGGCAAAGUGCAUCUUCCAGCAUUCCAGAGAUGCCACAGCAACAAUGUGUUCAUAAAAAGAGGAGGGGUGAAAGUAAAAGAAGGUUGAAUUCCAGGAAAAGAAAUUCAGGAGAAAAUUAUAGGCUGUACGGUGGGAAAGGUCCAGUGGUGAAAUCAGCAGAAAUAGGUCGAGAUUGUAAAUGUCCAAAAAAAUGCUUUGAAAAAAUAGAAGUAAAUGAAAGACAAAUUUUAUUUCAUACAUUUUGGAAGUUGCAAGAUUUCAAUGCCCAAAACAAAUUUAUCUUUGAUUUAAUAAAAAUUGAAAAUGUGAAACGUAGAUAUACGAAAGGUGAUAGUAGACGCUCUGUGUCUGUUGUUUACAAUAUGCAAUUAAGUGGUCACCAAAUUGCGGUGUGUAAGAAAGCAUUUGCAAGCAUUUUAGGUCUGCAGAAUCAUGUUGGACGUAUUAAUAACAUUGUUAAGAAAAUGAAAACGACUUCUGCUUUACCUCCUGAUGGACGAGGUCACCAUGCUUCCCACCCUCUUAAAUACUCGGACAGUGACAUAAAUCAAGUUCAUAAACAUAUACAUUUUUUUCUUAAAUAUAAAAGUCAUUAUAGCAUGAAUAAGAAUUUAAAUAAACAGUAUAUCUUAAUGGAACAUUCACUAUGUAGUUUGUAUGAAGAUUAUGUGGCCAAUUAUUGUGAAGAAAAUAAUAUACGGCCAGUCUCUGAAGAUAAGUAUAGAAGAAUUUUCUCCGAAGACUUCAAUAUAAAUUUCGAGCAACAUAAGUCAAAGGCAUAUCUUUCAUGUGAUCAGCUGCAUGUAAAAAGUACAGGAUUAAAAGAUAAUGAGGAAAAGAGUGACAAAUGUACCAGUUAAAAAGAAAUGCAUUUAAACAAAGUGGUCAGACUAAUAUUUCCUUGCAGACAGAAGAGACAAAAAAAUAUUCCUAAUUAAAAUUUUAUUACUUUUGACAAGCUUGCCCUAUUCUGAAACUUUUUUACAGGUACAGUUUUAUAUGCUAUUUUGUAUGCUAUGUAAAUUUUGGACUCAUAACUUUAAAUGUCCACAUAAAACUUAAGUGACAUGGAUUUCUUGUUUGGGAUGAGAUUGUUGUAAAAAGAUACUCAAAUGGAAUAAUCAAUUGACCAAAUAAAUAUUUUAAAUCAAAUGAUCAAGUGAUAAUCUAUUAACAAUUUGGGACAAUUUUUUUGGCUAGAACAAAAAUUGAAAAGUGAUUUGGAUUUGAUUCUAUCGAAUGGCCACUGUUGAACUCUGUUUUCCCACUUUUGGUUCACACAAUAUUUCCAUUUUUACUGUAGUUACAGAGUAUGUUAAAUGACAUGUGCAAUAUAAAUAUUUAUACUAUAUUUUUCUGAUGAAUAAAUUUAGAUAUUAAUUAAAAAUGCUGUAAUCAAACCAUUGAGUGAAACAAAAUGAUGCAUGGUUUCAUAAAUUUGGGUAAACUGAAUACUUGUUUCCAAAAGAGAAACUUCAAUAAAGAAAACCAUCCAAUUUAUUUUGACAUGUGCUUUAUUUAAAGUCUUUCAAAGUUGUAAAAAUAUUUAUCAGGCAUUCUUAUUGCUCUCUCCUAGUUAAAAAUAUAUUAGAUGUCAGCAGACAUUAAAGAGUGUGAGCUGAACUUUUUAUUAAUAUUUUUCUAAUAAUACAAUACUGCAACCAGUUUGGUUUGAAAACUUUUUAAAUUUCUCAUCCGCAGUUAUGAAAUAAUUAUUAAAAAUGUGACAAGUUUAAACUAUACCAUCAAAAAGAAAUCACUAGUCUUUUUUAUUUAAAUAAUUAAUUUGUCUUCAAUCUUGCACAAAUGUUCUGCUAUUGUGUGAUAAAUGUUCAUUCUUUUUCAUGAAACUUAGUAUAUAUGUGUGUACAAAAAUAUUGGAACUUCUUUGAAAGAAAGGUAAUCUAAUGCUGCAUAUUAUGGAUAUAUAUAUUAUUAUUUAACAAUAGAUAAUUGAACUUAAAUCAUUCUGUGAUCAUUCAACUGGUAAAAUAAGAACUGAAAAUGUGCAUUUUUUUAUAUUUACAUUAAUCAAGUUGGUGUGAGCUAAAAUGGUUCAAGAGAUCAACGCUUGUCUCCUGAUGACAGAACCAAGGUUUGAUUCCCAGUCAUUCAGAACCAGACUAACAUCUGCCCAGUGGUGACAUAAAAUGCUUUGCAGUGGUAGCCAGAUCAUAGAUUUCAUUAAAAUUCCCUUGACGUGGCUAAGCGUUAAUAGUUUUCUUCUCCAUGUAACAUUAAAGCAGUUAUUUCCAUUAAAAAAAAAUAAAAAAUCUGAUGAUUAAUCAAAGAGCUCCCUUGUCAUGUGGUUUGGAUUCAAAAUCACAAGGCUACAAAUUUAACAUUUAAAAAAUAAAUGGGCGAGCUAUGCAGUGCCGAUUAUGAAAUAAAACAAGUUAGUGGAAAUUAACGUAAAUAAACUUUUAAAGUUUUUAUUGCAAUUUUUGAAGUGUUGUAACAUCACAACUGUAUCUUGCUUUAUGAUUCAAAAAUAUAAAUUUGGUGAAAAUGUUUUAUAAAAUUGCUCUUUUAAAUUAUGCCAACCAUUUUUUAAUUGCUAUGGAUAUAUGCCAAAAAAUAUUUUUUAAAAAUUAAGUAUGAAACUAAUACUUCAAAAGCUCAUUAAGUUCAUAUUGCAAAUACUCACAACUUGCCAAAUAUUAAAUACAUUUUUUUAUAUCAAAUAUGAAGUAAUCUUCAGUUUUAAGUAAUUUUUCUAGAUAAUUUCUAAUUAUAUUUUUAAAAAAACAUGCAGCAAAAAAUAUUAUUUCUCUUGAUGCCAAUACUUAUGUAAAUGUACUGUGCGCAAAAUAAAAAACGGACCAUUCUAAAUAACUCUUUAUCUAAUGAUUCGCAUCUUCACGCUCUAAGACUUAAUGUUAAAGUUUCAAGGGGUGGCCUUGUCAAACCAUUCAGACCAUAUUUUCCAGAUUGCGACUACCCCCUAUAUUUUGAGGGUUGGAAAUCCAAAUCCAUCGAGAGAAAAAAAGGAAUAUUUAUUCAGAGAUAGUACGGUUUUGUGUCUGAUGUCACAACUUAAAAUGUUCUCUGCACUUAAUAAUUAGUAUACUUAAGGUCACCCCUUGAGCCAUUAAGAUUGAGUCCUAGAACAUGAAGCUCCGAUCAUUAGAUCAAAAGUUAUUCAGGGUGGUCUGUUUUUUGUGCUAUGUUCAUUAGGUUUAUGAAACAGAGUGUUUGCAUUACAUAUAAUAAGCAAAGACUUAACAGUAAGUUACAGCCUAAUGGAAAAAUUUUAUGAUGUAUUCAAAUAUUGAUCUAUAAUUAAACUAAAUUUUGAUUGAAAGGUACAAGUAGAGUAUUAUCUUAACUUACUUUUUAACUGAAAAAACCAUCUAUACUUCUGUAGAAAUUGGUAAAAAUGUCAAAUACCGAGAGUGUCUUCACAGAGUGUUUCUAUUAUUUUCAUUAAAAAUAUAAUUCACCUAAAUCAAUAGAAUAUAAAAUGUAAUAUAUUAUUAUGCUUGUUAAGCCUAUAUAUCAAUAUAUAUAUAGAGAGAGAACCUUCUAUGUCUACAACAUUGCAUACUGUAGAGAUAAAAGUUGAACCAUGUGAAGAUGAAAAAGACAAUAAUUUUUGUUCUUGUAUGAUAGAUAUUAGCACCAUCUUGUCUUCAAGUAUGUGACACAAUAUCAAUAUACAACAUAUAAAAUAUUAAUCGAGGUUAUAAAAUAUCUUAAUGAUUGGGAAAUAUGAAGAUAAGUUUGAAGCAACUGAAAAGUAUUGUUUAUAAAUUGGGAUCAGUUUUGAAAAACUAAACAAGUGUUUGCUAGAAAACUCAUCAAUAAAGUAUUGGUAGAAGCUGAAAAGGGCUAUUUGAAUAGACUUGUAGGUGUGUUUCACUCCCUUGAUAAAAAGCAAAAACUAAAAGAGUUGGAUUCUCCUGUUGAGGCAGAAAGCAAUACUAGUACUAAUUUGUGGCUACUUGACCCUCACUAUAUUUGUCCACUGAAAAAUAAGGUUCUCACUAAAAUGGAGAAAAAAAAGUCUUCUAAAAUCUUUAGAGCAAAAUCCUUCAGUCAAACUUCAUGCAUCUAGGUUGAGAUCAUUAUCAACUUUGCAGUACUUUUUAGUAAAUAAGCUUAUUAAUGAAACCUUUUCUGAAGAUGUUUUGGGAAACUUAGAGCAUCCUCUGGAAUAUGUUUUCUCAUGAAAUAUUCUUCAAGAAAAUCUGAUGUUUUUUCUUGUAACACUUCUUUAAAAUCUGUGCAGCUUCCAAUAUCUAAUAAAUCCAAAUAUAGAUUAAGAUUUACAAACAAUAGUUCCAAGUGAAUCAGUGUCAUCAUUUUCCAAAACGCCUUUGCCGAUUAUUUUAGAAAAUUCUUUCCAACAACCUGAAACCAUUCCUACACUAACUCAAAUAUUUAAGCAAAAUUCUUCUUUGCAAACUUGUGAAGAAUCUUGCCCCAACACCAGCCCAAAUAUAUCAACAAAAUUCAAGCAUAUUUUUAAAUACAACUUAUUCAUCAUUGCAAGUCAAAAAAAAUAUUUGAUUCAACACCUACACGAUCAAUAGAACAAAAUACUCACGAAUUUUUAAUACAACAUAUGAUUAGUCAUUAGGAGUCAAAAAAAGAAUAUUUUAAUCUGACAUCUACCUGAAAAUUCAAAAAACAGGCUCACAUAUCUUUAAAUCCAAGGUUUUUAUUACCAACUAAAAAACAUCUAUUAUUUCAACAACUGCCCAAAGAUUGGUAUAAAAAUUUCUUUGUUUCUUAAAGAAUAUUUUCAGAUUCAAUUUACUCCAACUCAGUAAUCUAACUCCUAAAAUUUUGCAACAAUAAGAAAUUAAGCGUAUUCUCUAAUUAUAUUCAAAUAAUUUCCGCAACUGUUCAGUUUAUCUUAAUACAUGGUCAAAAUUCUAAGGCAAAAAGACAUUUCAAUGAAAAUACAUCAUUUAUUCGAACAUUCUCAAAAAGUGCAGCUCCUUCAAAACUAUUUCUGUCAUACCAAUAGUAUUUCAACAUCUUCACAUCAUUUACCACAUUUUCCAAUGUAAAAACCAAUUCAUCGGCAGGCGUUUGAAUUCACUUGUUUUGUGACUGGAAUGUUUUUAUGUAAAAAAGUAAAUAUGUAUACAAAGUUUUCGUCAAUAAAAAUGUUUCUGAAUAUGA